UGAAAUUCACAUGUGCUCUUUAAAUGUC
rnacentral:piRNA from 1 species